AUCAGCAGAAUCACCAGGUCCAAACAGGCAGCAUGUAUCAAUUAGAGGGGGGCACAGGGGAUUCUGAAGGUGGGCCCAUCUUUUCCGCCACUCAGCACUUCCACAUUGAUUAGCUCUCUCUUCAUCCAGAAAGCUGUGUGAGCCCCAUCCUCACAAGCCAUGAAAACUCCCCAACCGGAAAAUAUUCCUCUUAAAAUGAGGCCCCACUUGUCAAAAAUGAGUGUACACCUGCUGACUCUAGAUAUCUCAGGAUUCCUCCAGUAAGCACCAUUCAGUCCCUCUGAAAAGGUAGUUAAAAGGGUGUGGAUAAGAGCUUGUGAUAUGAAUUGAUUACUUUCCUAUAUUUGCUUUUUAUAACUCAAGACUGUUUGCCCUUUACAAAAUGUUGGCAUUAAUCUUUCAAUUUGCUGCCAGUAACUGUUAAGUUAAGGCUAACAUUUUAGAAAAAGGGGUUUGUAUGGAUUUAGUAAUACCUCAUGCAGUUUAUAUAUUAAAGUUAAAGUUCCUACUGGGUUUGUAUUUUAACUCACAACGUGGGGCACCUUAGCUGAGAAAAUAUUCUUCAGAGAACAUUUAAACUGGAAAUAAUCUGGCUGAGAUAAAUGCUAGCUGGGUAAACCAUCCAUGAAAUCUGAUGGUGUCAUGUGGCAAGUACAGCCCCCUGGAGCCUUUUUUGCCUUCAUGCCUCAGUGCUCCUCAGCCUUGCCUAUGUGCACAGCACAUCAUCAAUCAUAUUAUUAUUAUUAUGAGAAAUUAAGGAAGAAAAGCUGGUGUUUAUUCUUAUUACUACAAUACAGCCAACACUAUUAACUCAGGGUGAUAAAAGUACGGUGCCAACUCCUAAAAACCUAACAAUCCAACCAUGUUGCAUCAGAUCCUGGGUCACAUCUUACACUUUCUUUUCCUUUUGUAUGACUUUGCCCAGUGUUGUGGAAAAUCUUACCACUGCGACUGAGAGGAUGGCAAGAAGCCCAAACUAUAGAUUUGUAAGAGCUUUUAGAGCAUGCAGAAAUGCUAAAAUGUGGGCAAUAUUGUAAAAGGGGGAUAUUGCUUUCAAAAUGUAUUUCUCUCUUCUUUUACAGGAGGAAGAGAUUCCAGAGUUAGAGAUUGACAUAGAUGAGCUCCUGGAGCUGACAGACGAGGGGCAGAGAACCCGUCUACACGAGCUGUUGCAGGAAUGCGGAAAGCCAAAAGAGGAUUUUAUCAACGGGCUGCUCUACAGGAUAAAGGGUCUACGCAAAAUGUCAGGUCCCUUGAAGAAAUAAUUAUAGGUCAAAAAAAGAAUUUAGACAAUGAGGAUCCUCUUAUCUUUCCAUCUCCCAUGCAUUAGGGUUGACUGUAACAUGUCAGUGGGACUCUCUUCCUGCCCACCCACCCGUGCUGGGUCAGCAUCAGUCUUAACACCAGAGCAGACGGGUUUUGAAUGGAAUUUUUGUAUUAUUAUUUCACUUUAAUUUAUGGACUGCUGUAACAUUUUGUCUCCCAUAAACAUAACAAUAAUGCACAUGUGAUAAAAGUUGACUAUUACUCAGAUGGACUGUUUUUUUGGUGUACAUUUUCGGUUGCCUAUUUAUGUACAUAAAUAUUUUUGUUCUGAUAACAGUGUUGUAUGUCGAAAUAAAACUGAACAUUUUCAAGA